AGCUGCCGGAUAAUAUCAGCAGCUAAAUGAAACAACUGCCUCUACAUGGGCAAUUACCAUAUCCUUUGCACCGGAGAAUGCCCGUGCAUAGGUGCAGUCUGGCCCUGGCCAUUUUUCAGCAACAAUCACAGAUGGCAAACCGAGAUUCCGCUUCACGUUCGCUGAGUGUGGAGACCUCUGCUGGACCACAUUGGAAGUAACUACUUUUAAAAGGCGUCGGACGUCGAGACUUGGCUGGAGACGGGAGCAGAUGUCAAUAACGGGAACGGACACGUAUCGCUUAAGGUUCCGACUUGGCCAGCACACAUUGUGACAAUCGGAGAGCAUCACGAGUCCAUCCUAUUCCUCCUGAUCAGCUCCCCUCAAUUUGAGUAACCCCUGUUCUCCACUCAGAGCUCUCACCUCACCUGGUCUUCAGCUGCUGGACCAUCAGCCUGCAACCUCAGUUGACUUCGCCCCAUAAAUCCAUGGACACAGAGGAAGCCCUCAACCUCACCAAACUCCCACAAGAAUACCGCAACUUUGCAAUCAUUUUUGGUAAAAGAGAGGCCGGCCCGGGCUGCCUCACUAACCACAUAACUGCUGAAGCAACCUCCUCCUGGACACCACACCGCCCGAGGUCAUUUGUUCUCCCUCUCUUCCUCUGAGACAUAAGCUGUGACUGACUACAGUCCUGUCUAUAUAGCCAAGGUGCCUGAGACUUUUGCACAGUACUCUAUACAACCCUGAGACUUGCCUUUCACACAGACGGCCAUGAAACAAAGAAAACCAUGGAACCCGUUCAAGGAAAAACAACAUCACCCGCUCCCCCCCCCCCCCCCACAAAUACACAAAGAAAAAUUGCACGAACAGCAACAAAAAAAAAACAGGCAAAAAGCACAGAUUAGUUAAGCGUUUGUUAUCUGCAGGCAGCCCUGAUAAAAAAGAAAUUGCCCAAAAUAGCAAGAGAAAAAGGAGUGGUCAGAAACUCAUUCUAAAGUGAACCAGGGAGUCCAAUCCACACACUGCGUCGAUUAAACCUUGCCCAGGAUCUAGAGCUCUGGCACCACCCUCUGACAGCAUUAAUGGAGAGAGAGAGAGACCAUUUGAACCAGGGUCCGUCCUUCAGGAGCAGCAAGUAAGAAGGAGAGUGAGAGAGACCAUUACACUCAAACUCCUUCCUCUGACAGCAGCAAGUGAGGGGCUGCUAGACGCCACUGAGCACCCACCCCCCUCGAUGAUUUCAAUCUUCCUAGGUAGUUUAAUCAGUGAGAAAUAGAGUCAAUCAUGUGCUUGUGUCCCAUCUCCAGGUUUGUUGGCCUCGAGGUCACCCAGUUUACUCGAAGCCUCACGAAACUCUCUUGGAGACAGAAAAGUGCCAGGACACUCAAUCGGCUCAAAAACACACCACCAAAGUGAAGAUUACAGGCGCUAACAGCAGCUGAAUCACAUUUGAAAGAGAAAGGAGAUGUUAAAAAAGUAAAAGUUGGUUUGUGAACCAUGUGGAGGACGUUGCCCUUGGUCCUGUUGUUUGUUGGCGCCAUCUUCUCCCGGUAUUCAUCAGACAUGUGCCACUACUGUUUGUUGAAGGUUUUGUGCAAAGUUAAAUAGUUCUUAUGGUUGCCUGCAGCUGAUCCAAAUUAACUUUUUUAGAAAAUUUUUCUCUUCAAUUAUAACUCAGAGCAAACUUUCAUUUACACAUAGUUUUUACUGGUGCUAUAUCAUACUGGAGCUGAAGAACCAGUGUGUUAUAAAAUGCCAAUGGAUUCUUCAUUCUACUCUCUUGUUUGACUGAGUUUCUGUUGUCCUUAGUAGAAAGUCAUUAGCAACCAUUCUUAGAUUACAUCACUGAAUAAUCAUUGUACUUGUUAGUAAAUCAUUUCAAUGUUUCUUGAUUAAAUAUAAUUCUUUGAUAUGGGCUAUUUACAUAAAAUUUGCCCAUAAUAACAGUGCAAUCAGUUAAAAUAUGAUCAAGCUGUGGUUUUGUGUUUCAAUAUAACAUACAUUCCAAAUUUCUAUUUUAAAUAGAAAAAGUUAAUCACAGCUAGAUGAUUGUUUGUUGAAAUCAGUUGAUAAAAUCAAUUUAUAGUAUCCAGUGUUAUUUUUCUAGCCAUUAUUUUUCUGCAAAUUCUGUCUCAUAACUGUUUUAGCAACAGCUACUCAUGUUAGAAAAUACAAUUUCCAUUUCUAAUUUAGCUUUAAGUGUAGUAUAUUGAAAAAUGGAAGGAGUUUUGGACAACAGUACCUGGGCAAUUCUAUUAGAAUGUAAAUUCACUUAUUUUUAUUCACCAGCAUUUUAUUAUUACAAUGUAAACC